UGGGGAAUCUUGGACAAUGGGGGCAACCCUGAUCCAGCCAUGCCGCGUGAGCGAUGAAGGCCUUAGGGUUGUAAAGCUCUUUCAACGGGGAAGAUAAUGACGGUACCCGCAGAAGAAGCCUCGGCUAACUCCGUGCCAGCAGCCGCGGUAAUACGGAGGAGGCAAGCGUUAUCCGGAAUCAUUGGGCGUAAAGCGUUCGCAGGCGGCGAUUCAAGUCUGCUGUCAAAGCCCGCAGCUCAACUGCGGACAGGCAGUGGAAACUGAAUCGCUAGAGUGCGGCAGGGGUAGAGGGAAUUCCCGGUGUAGCGGUGAAAUGCGUAGAUAUCGGGAAGAACACCAGUGGCGAAAGCGCUCUACUGGGCCGCAACUGACGCUCAGGGACGAAAGCUAGGGGAGCGAAAGGGAUUAGAUACCCCCGUAGUCC
rnacentral:rRNA from 1 species